UAGUCCAUUCAGCAUGCAGAUCCAUUUUCUGCCACCGAAUACAUUAGCAUGGGAUAAUGGAAUAGGACCCUGUCCUCCUAUUUUCAGUUGGUUUUGGCAGCGCGAGGACUAGGGUAAUGAUUAAUAGGGAUAGUUGGGGGCAUUAAUAUUUAAUUGUCAGAGGUGAAAUUCUUGGAUUUAUGAAAGAUUAACUUCUGCGAAAGCAUCUGCCAAGGAUGUUUUCAUUAAUCAAGAACGAAAGUUAGGGGAUCGAAGACGAUCAGAUACCGUCGUAGUCUUAACCAUAAACGAUGCCGACCAGCGAUUAGGAGACGUUGAAUACAAAACACCACCAUCGGUGCGGUCGUCCUUGGCGUCUCGGUUUCUGCCGGGGCGCGGGGGCGGGUUAGGCCGGUGGCACCGGUGAAUGACUCCCCUACCAGCUUGUGAUAAUGAGA
rnacentral:rRNA from 1 species